rnacentral:lncRNA from 1 species
AUGAUGGCUUCCCUGGUGGCUCAGAUGGUAAAGCAACUGCCUGCAAUGCAGGAGCUGCAGGAUACAUGGGUUCGAUCCCUGGGUCAGGAAAAUCCCUGGAGGAGGAAAUGGCAACCCACUGCAGUAUUCUUGCCCGGAGAAUCCCACGGACGGAGGAGCCUGGUGGGCUACAGUCCAUGGGGUCACAAAGAGUUGAACACGACUGAGGACAUGGGUGUGUGCUGGUGCUGGUAGAGGGUCCAAAAGCAACGCUGGGAGGCUGAACAUGACAAACAGGAGGAUUCAAUUAGGAAGAAAGACCGCGCAUCACCCGCUGGGACCACACUGCCUCAUUCCUCCGCCGGAUUCCAUCUUUGAAAUGUCUUCUGCGCUGCGCUCCCGCCCCCGCUCGCCUCCUUGAAACUUCACAGCUGGGACACAGAGGGACUUUGAAGGGCGGAAGACAAGAGGGAUUUUUCCUUCCUCCGUGGUCAUAUUUAACAGCCAGUUCCCGAAUGGUAUUAAUAAACAUUUCAACUUCAAAAACUGAACUUGACAUUUCUACAUCCUUUCCAUUGUUGCUAUGUUUUUGUCUUUGCCAUUACACAAGUGAUGUCUAUGGUACAUGCAGGAUUAAAAGGGGUUCACAAGUCUCCGGGUUCAGAAAUGUGUGUAUUUGUUGAAGUGUCUAUAGAUCCCUGGGAAGCACUGGGGUGGUCACUGUUAUCCUGGGGAUAGAAUAAUAUAUAGAGAGAUGAGUCCAAAUAUUGAAAACUUUGACAUCAGUACUCAGGGCACAGAAAGACAAAGUACAAAUAUUCUUUUGGCAAAAAGGCUGAGUGGAUGGUACAGGGUUACAGUGGGGGCCAGCUUUCAACCUUG